GGAAUAUUGGACAAUGGGGGAAACCCUGAUCCAGCCAUGCCGCGUGAGUGAUGACGGCCUUAGGGUUGUAAAGCUCUUUCGCCGGUGAAGAUAAUGACGGUAACCGGUAAAGAAGCCCCGGCUAACUUCGUGCCAGCAGCCGCGGUAAUACGAAGGGGGCUAGCGUUGUUCGGAAUUACUGGGCGUAAAGCGCACGUAGGCGGACACUUAAGUCAGAGGUGAAAUCCCGGAGCUCAACUUCGGAAUUGCCUUUGAUACUGGGUGUCUCGAGUCCGAGAGAGGUGAGUGGAACUCCGAGUGUAGAGGUGAAAUUCGUAGAUAUUCGGAAGAACACCAGUGGCGAAGGCGGCUCACUGGCUCGGUACUGACGCUGAGGUGCGAAAGCGUGGGGAGCAAAC
rnacentral:rRNA from 1 species